GAGAGGCGCGCGGAGGGCGGGGCGGGUCGCCAUGGCAACCGGGCCCCUCACGGCCCCGCGCCUGGUGUGCAGCCCCGGCCUUCGGAACCCGCGCUGCUUUUCCUGAGGUACAAUCAGCUGUACGUGGGGAAUCGGCAAGGGGAUUGUGCUCCAAGCUCUGCUGCUGUUCAGCCUCCGACCUCAGGCGCGUCUCUGCACUUCUGUCAUCAGAUUUCCUGUGUCGGGGCGAUCCGUCGUUGUUGGUUUGCUGCUGGUGGUGCCUCUCACAGCCAGAACUGUCCCUUGGUAAUAAUGUCUGUGCCCAGGACAACCCCAGCACUGAGUGACUUGAACCUAAAACUGAUCAAUUCUAGCAGCUCGAGGCAGUGCACUGAUGAGUUAGCUUGUGCAGCUUUCCCUGCCCUGCCUUUCAGGUAAAUACAGGAGCAGCUGGUGGCUGCAGCAAAAACUCCAGGCUCGAGUCAAGAGUUCUGUCCGUGGGGCCGGCGUGGAGCCCUGCAGGAACAGGUGCAGUGUCCUCCUCUACGUAAGCCACUGCUCCCUUCUGCCAGGGUGAGACAGGCAAGAGAAGAGCUCCUGUUUUCUCCCACCAACAGGGAACACAGCAGACACUGCAGGUGCUGUCCAGCAGAGGAGGAUGAAGGGAUGGACACCACCUCAUCUCUACCUUUCUAUGGAGCAUCCUCACACUCUGAUGGGAACAGAGAUGCCCUGAAAACUCAGGGUGCAGGCACCUGCCCUCUGCCUCUUGUGGAGCUCAAGUGCCCUUCACCCCUCAAGAUAACAAGCACAGUCUAAUGCUGAUGGUGGCAUGAGUCAUCCCAGAGCUGUGCUGGCUUCUUCCUGGCAUGGAAAAAAUUCCUAACCAAGAGCCACACACAGGCUGCAAACAAUGAAUAGUCUGAACAAUGCCCAGGCAGCAGUACCCACACAGAUCUCUGUCCUGGCCCCACAGUGAUCAGCAGAGGAACAGGGCAACACAGACCAGAGGUCUGCGAGUAACCCCACACUUCUGGUUAAGUACCAUCACUACAUCCUUCACAGGAAAAACUGGAGCCCUGAACAAGCUUCAUCCAGGAAAUGACUCGAUGGGAGAAGGAUUCAGAGUGUUCACUCCUUCCUUCUUGCCCCACUCCUCCUCCAGCUGUAAUGG